rnacentral:rRNA from 1 species
GACGAGCCACACAAACGUUAUUCGGAAUCACUGGGCUUAAAGCGUGUGUAGGCGGACGUCUAAGUACCUUGUGAAAUCCCACGGCUCAACCGUGGAACGGCUUGGUAUACUGGGCGUCUUGAGCCACUUAGGGGUCGUCGGAACAAGCGGUGGAGCGGUGAAAUGCGUAGAUAUCGCUUGGAACGCCAACGGUGAAAACAGACGACUGGGAGUGUGCUGACGCUGAGACACGAAAGCCAGGGGAGCGAACGGG